rnacentral:piRNA from 1 species
UAGGAAACAUUUCACCACUGUGUAGAU